GAUGAAGAACGUAGCGAAAUGCGAUACGUAAUGUGAAUUGCAGAAUUCAGUGAAUCAUCGAAUCUUUGAACGCACAUUGCGCCCGCUAGUAUUCUGGCGGGCAUGCCUGUCCGAGCGUCAUUUCAACCCAUCAAGCUUAGCGCUUGUGUUGGAGCCCUGCGGCCGCCGCAGCCUCCUAAAAUCAGUGGCGGGCUCGCUAUCACGCUGAGUGCAGUAGUAUUCUUCUCACUCCUGUGGUGUAGCGGGUAACCAGCCGUAAACCCCCCCAUCUAUAAAGGUUGGCCUCGGAUCAGGUAGGAAUACCCGCUGAACUUAAGCAUAUCAAUAAGCGGAGGA
rnacentral:misc_RNA from 1 species